GAUGAACGCUAGCGGCAGGCCUAAUACAUGCAAGCUGAACGGUAACUUUUGUAGCAAUACGGAAGCUAGAGUAGCGUAAGGGUGCGUAACACGUAUGCAAUCUGCCCGCAACAGGAGGAUAGCUCCUCGAAAGGGGAAUUAAGACUCCAUAAGAUCACGCGAAGGCAUCUGAGAGGGAUUAAACUACAAGGGGUUGCGGAUGAGCAUGCGACUGAUUAGUUAGUUGGCGGGGUAACGGCCCACCAAGACGAUGAUCAGUAGGGGAACUGAGAGGUUGGUCCCCCACACUGGCACUGAGAUACGGGCCAGACUCCUACGGGAGGCAGCAGUAGGGAAUAUUGGACAAUGGGUGCAAGCCUGAUCCAGCCAUGCCGCGUGCAGGAAGAAAGCCUUCUGGGUUGUAAACUGCUUUUUUCAGGGGAUAAAAUACCGGUGCGCCGGGAAUUGCAAGUACCUGGAGAAUAAGCCACGGCUAACUACGUGCCAGCAGCCGCUGUAACAC
rnacentral:rRNA from 1 species